AUUGAACGCUGGCGGCAGGCCUAACACAUGCAAGUCGAGCGGAAACGAAGGGGUGCUUGCACACUAGGCGUCGAGCGGCGGACGGGUGAGUAACGCGUAGGAACCUACCCGAUAGUUGGGGAUAGCCCGGAGAAAUCCGGAUUAAUACCGAAUAAUCUCUACGGAGGAAAGGGGGCUUCGGCUCUCGCUAUUGGACUAUUGGAUGGGGCUGCGUCGGAUUAGCUAGUUGGUGAGGUAAUGGCUCACCAAGGCGACGAUCCGUAGCUGGUCUGAGAGGAUGAUCAGCCACACUGGGACUGAGACACGGCCCAGACUCCUACGGGAGGCAGCAGUGGGGAAUAUUGGACAAUGGGGGCAACCCUGAUCCAGCCAUGCCGCGUGUGUGAAGAAGGCCUUAGGGUUGUAAAGCACUUUCAGUAGGGAGGAAAAGUUAGUCGUUAAUAGCGGCUAACCCUGACGUUACCUACAGAAGAAGCACCGGCAAACUCCGUGCCAGCAGCCGCGGUAAUACGGAGGGUGCGAGCGUUAAUCGGAAUUACUGGGCGUAAAGCGCGCGUAGGCGGCCUGAUAAGUUGGAUGUGAAAGCCCUGGGCUCAACCUAGGAACUGCAUUCAAAACUGAUAGGCUAGAGUACGAUAGAGGGGGGUAGAAUUCAGAGUGUAGCGGUGAAAUGCGUAGAGAUCUGAAGGAAUACCGGUGGCGAAGGCGGCCCCCUGGAUUGAUACUGACACUGAGGUGCGAAAGCGUGGGUAGCAAACAGGAUUAGAUACCCUGGUAGUCCACGCCGUAAACGAUGUCUACUAGCCGUUGGAACCCUUAGAGGUUUUAGUGGCGCAGCAAACGCAAUAAGUAGACCGCCUGGGGAGUACGGCCGCAAGGCUAAAACUCAAAUGAAUUGACGGGGGCCCGCACAAGCGGUGGAGCAUGUGGUUUAAUUCGACGCAACGCGAAGAACCUUACCUACUCUUGACAUCCUCGGAACUUAGCAGAGAUGCUUUGGUGCCUUCGGGAACCGAGUGACAGGUGCUGCAUGGCUGUCGUCAGCUCGUGUCGUGAGAUGUUGGGUUAAGUCCCGUAACGAGCGCAACCCUUGUCCUUAUUUGCCAGCACGUAAUGGUGGGAACUCUAAGGAGACUGCCGUGACAAACCGGAGGAAGGCGGGGACGACGUCAAGUCAUCAUGGCCCUUACGGGUAGGGCUACACACGUGCUACAAUGGUCGGUACAGAGGGUUGCGAAGCCGCGAGGUGGAGCUAAUCCCAGAAAGCCGGUCGUAGUCCGGAUUGCAGUCUGCAACUCGACUGCAUGAAGUCGGAAUCGCUAGUAAUCGCGAAUCAGAAUGUCGCGGUGAAUACGUUCCCGGGCCUUGUACACACCGCCCGUCACACCAUGGGAGUUGGCUGCAAAAGAAGUGGGUAGUUUAACCUUCGGGAGGGCGCUCACCACGGUUAAUGACUGGGGUG
rnacentral:rRNA from 1 species